CUAGUGCAGAUAUAAUGAGAGUAAACAGGGUAAACACAACAAAGACUUUUCCGCGGGGACGAUCUCCGUACGCAGUUAGAGUUCGGAUCUUUAAGCCUAGAAGGUCCCCCGCUUUUGGUUCCACGUUUGCGCAUCCAAUCGCAUGAAGAUCGAUGCUGGUCCCAUGCAACCGCUAAACUUAUUUAAAAUAGGAUGCGGGGGAACAAGAAGCUGGAAGAUGUUUAAGCAUUUCUCAUAGCGAUGAGACAUGUAAAUGACGUUUUCAAAAAGUGGGGUGGGUAAAGAACGUAAAUGAGGGGUGAAAUGGCGGGGAAAGUACUGUGAACCAACGAAUCACGUUCGUUUCUCAGGCACGUUACAGAAGCAGUUGGUUGGCAAAUUAGAGGUUACAGUAAACGAUAAAAACUAGUGUGGUACAUCGCACUUCUUAUAGCAAUGUUACUGAGCCCUAUUGAAAAAAAUACGGAAUGCGGUAUUCGAGUAUCCAAGUUCAUAGCAAAUUCACCCAUGCACAUAUAUACAAAGAUAUCCAGACAAAGUUAUGCAUAGAUUUGUAUAUAGAUUUAUAUAUCAAUGUAUGUGUGAAUUUGUAUACAUAAACAUCAACUAAUAUACAUGGGUGUUAUAUGUUAAGCAUCAUUAUGCAACUUGUAUUCGUUCCAUCAAAUACAAAGAUUUAUGAAUACUGACGCUGUUGGUUUUCUUCCAAAAUUUUAUGCUUAGGCUGUAACAAAAUGCUUCUUGUACGAACUAUAUGUACUUAAUAGUAAAACUCUUAGCAUUAUUAGUUUUAGCUAUUUGAAAUUUAAUGUGAGGGUAUAGUGCGGAGAAGAUCGGGGUUUCAAGCUAUGCUGCAGUACAAAGGUGUGGUGAGCAAGUGGAUCAGUAAGGCGGACAAAGAAAUCUAAAAUCAGUAUAUAGCCAAAUUUGCUAUUAAUUCAUUAAUUGUUGCACAAGCGGGGACCAGUACCUGUUUUCCAACAAUUUAAAUAUACGUAAUGAACAGAACAAAUAUGCAUUUUUUAGAAUUUUAUUGAAUUUAUAUUGACUAAGCUAGGCGUUUUUGGGUUUUAUUCUAUUUUCUAUUAAUCUAAGGUUUUUUUUUUGUGAGUUUUCAUGAUGGUGUAAAAGAAAGCUUUUCAAGCAUCAAUCUGAUGAAAGGUUCUGAAAUAUACAUAUAUACACCGUAUGCAUCUUAAUCAUUAUUAACGAAUGGCUCCGCUUUAUGUGUUCCAUUGCUAAGCCUUGGUCGUAAACGGCUUAAAGUCUGAAAAUGACAUGACAUAUAUAUGUAUAUAUAUAUGACAGUAAUAAUAUAACAUGCUCUGGAGGAAAAAAAAUUUAGAGCUUUAACAAGACUGCUUGAUAAGGAUUCAAUGUGACAGGAGAAGUCAUACAAAUAAAGUCCUUAUAGUUGUCAAGUAGAAUUUCAUAGGAAGUCAGGUUCAAAGGACAGUCAUAAGAAACUUUAUUACCCGUGAAAUUCAAAAGAAUGAUGAGUUUAUAAGUCGAUGAUUCACGAACAAAUGCAACAAUCGAUGGAUCCUCUUCAGAUAUCAAUUCAAACGAUCCAUACACAACAGCAUCCUUCAAUUCUUUACGAAGCUCCAAUGCCUUUGACCAAAAUGUGUAAGGACUUUCAGGGUCAUUAACUUGAUUGGCAGCAUUCCAUUCUUUGUAGUCAUUAGUCACUCUCAUCCACGGUUUUACUCCAGCCUUUGUGAAACCACCGUUGGGUGAGCUAUCCCAAUGCAUUGGUGUGCGACCGUUGUCACGAGCACGUUUGUUAACAAUGUCCAUAGUCUUCUCAAUUUCUUCCUGACUAGGAUUGCCACUCAUAAAAAGUUUCCAGAAGUUCUGCGUUUCAACAUCAAGGUAUUCAUCAAUCGGCCAAUCUCGUGGGAUAUUGGCAAGAGCAAGUUCCUGACCCUGGAAUACAAAUGGGGUACCACUUUGGAAUAUGAUAAAAAGAGCCAUCAAUUUGGAGCUAUAUGCUCUAUACUUGGGAGAAUCAGAAAGAUAUCGUGAAACAGUUCUCGUUUGGUCGUGAUUUUCAAUAAAGGAAGCAUUCCAACCACCACCGGAAAGUAGUGCAGACUGCCAUUUUUUUAAUGACUUUUUC
rnacentral:lncRNA from 1 species